rnacentral:rRNA from 1 species
UACGUAGGGGGCAAGCGUUGUCCGGAAUGACUGGGCGUAAAGGGCGUGUAGGCGGCCGAUUAAGUCUGGAGUGAAAGUCCCGCUUUCAAGGUGGGAAUUGCUUUGGAAACUGGUUGGCUUGAGUGCGGAAGAGGUAAGUGGAAUUCCCAGUGUAGCGGUGAAAUGCGUAGAGAUUGGGAGGAACACCAGUGGCGAAGGCGACUUGCUGGGCCGUAACUGACGCUGAGGCGCGAAAGCGUGGGGAGCGAACAGGAUUAGAUACCCUGGUAGUCCCUGAG